CCAUGGGGUGCACAUCCUCUCGAGAGGAGUGAUGGGAUGGGGAAAGGAUGCAGGGUCUCAGGAUGGGGACGGAAGCGCGGUUCAGCAGUGAAUGA